UGCGAGUCCUAACCCUAUUGCCAGGGA
rnacentral:piRNA from 1 species